rnacentral:lncRNA from 1 species
GACUGAGAUCUGCUGAGGGGGGCAGGGCUAAACCCAGCCAGUGCACUCUAGGACGGUAUGGUCUGCUCUCACAGACAGGCAGAUAUUGGCAGCGUCUGCUACAUCUGCAAUAGAAGAUCAGAAAGAGAGUCUCCAAAGCAGACAGCUCUGGGUUCCGAGAUCAGCACUACUGACUAGAGGCAAAAUGAUUUGGGAAAUAAAGAAGCUAUUGCCCCACUACUGGGAGUGCCUCUAGCUGAAGAGAGUCACUUUGCCAAAAAUCACACCCCUUCUCUGGGUGGUCCACCUCCAAUGACUGUGUGACACAUGGAUGUAAAGGCUCAGCCUGCUCACUCCAAUUGGGAACAGCUCUGCAGGAUCCUUCCAUCUUCAGGAAUCUCCACAAGAUGAAGAAACUGAAGCAGAGAGAGGCUAAGAGAGUCACUUGGUUACACAACUAGUUAACGGCAGAGCCAAGACUUGAACCCAGGUGGACUGGCUCCUGAGUCUAUGCUCUUCCCCCGCCCCCCAGCUUUAUCAAGAUAUAAUUGACAUAU